rnacentral:lncRNA from 1 species
UCUUCAUUUUUAAUCAAUAGUUAUUUUCUUUGCUAAUGCUAGAGCAGUUAAGCUCUCAAAAAUAAUACUAAGUUUCAACUGUGGUGAAUGAUGUGAUUUAUCUUAUAUAUUAGACUAUGAAGCUGCAUAAUAGUUGUAUAUUUUGUCAAUUGAUUAAUUACAUAAGUUAGAUUGCUACAAUCUAUUAUUUAAUAUAACAUAUAAUAUAAACCUUUACAUUUAAAAGUACCCAGGUAAAAUGUAAAUAUUUCUUUAAAUAUUUGUGAUUACCAUUUUUUUCAAUGACAGAUUUUUAAAUUAUGUUAUUUUUCUCUCAAGUAUUUUUAAUGUCUAAUUUAUGUGAACUAUAGAUAUGGCAUAUCAGACAAAUAUUUAAUGUAGUUUUCUAUUGCUUACUAAUUGUUUAUUGAGCACUUGCUUAUGAACAGGUAUUCUCCUGAGGAGUGGGGAUUCACAUCUCAAUGAGAAAGGGUUCUUUAUAGUCAAAGAGUUUAAUGGUCUAGAGGGUGAGAUAAAUAUGUAAAUAAAUACAGUACAAUGUAAUAUACCACAAUAAAGAAGAGAUAUAAAUGAAAUUUUCAUAAAAGCAGUGACUUUCAGUCAGGUAUUGAUAAAAUAAUAGGCUUUUAAAGAAUGUAAGCCCUAUAAAGCUCCUAUAAAGCUCAGCAGUCUCUUGUGCCUAGAAUAAUGCCAGGCAUAUAAUCAGCACUUUUUUUAGUAACUAUUUUUGAAAGUCAAAUCAGUCUUUAGGGAUAAAAUUUAAAAGCUCACUCCCAGAAGCAGAAACAACAUGAGCAAAAUAUGAAGAUAUUGAAAAGUAUGGCAUAUGUGAAGACAUGAUUUAAUUUAUUAUGGUUGGAAUGAGGGAUUGAAGAAGAUGUACAAAAUAUAAUAAAUAAGAAUAUGCACUUUGGGUCAGUCAGAUUGGAAUUUGAAUCUUUAAAAAAAUUCUUUUGUAGUGCUAGGGAUAGAACCCAGGGCCUUGUACAAUGCUAGUUAAGUGCAGUACCACUGAGCUAUAUCCCCAGCCCUGGAGUUCAAGUCUUGACUUCAUUUCACACUACUUUGAGAUUGUAGGUAAAAUGCUGAAUGUCUUUCUCCUUUAAAAUGUAGCUAAUACUGGGCGCGGUGGUGCACCCUGAAUCUCAGCGGCUCGUGAGACAGGAGGAAGGCAAGUUGAAAGCCAGCCUCAGCAAAAGCAAGGGG